CCUGGUAUCUGAGCACUUCUUGCCUCUGA
rnacentral:piRNA from 1 species